rnacentral:lncRNA from 1 species
GCUUAACUGUUUUAAUGGCUGCAUAGCCCUCAGCCUUGCAUCUCCUAACGCAGGAGAUACUAAUUAUUAGGGUAUAAUUCACACUGUGUGAGUUCUUAUUGCCCAUCUUUCGUGUAGGAUACAGAUAGUUGGGAACAUAUAGUGCCUGUGAAUGACCAGUAUGCUCACUCCAAUAACAUCAGGCAAGCAAUUCCACAUAACACAGAAGAAGCAUAGCAUAAUGGGUACAAGAAUACUUCUGAAACCAGAUUGACAGUGGAUAAAUCCUGGCUCUACCACUGACUGGCUAUGUGGCAAGUUACUCAUCCUUUCUGGGACUUGGUUUCCUAAUUUAAAAUGGGGAUAAUAAUAAUGCCCUAUAGGAUUGUUGAGAGGAAUAAGUGACUUAAUUAAGAGCUCAGCACACUGCCUGUCCCAUAGUAAACACUAUAACAAUGUUCAUCAUUGUCAAGACAAUAAUAAUAAUUAUUAUUGCUAAAUUGAAUUGGGUGUAGCGUCCCUGACUCUCCAGCUCUUUCUUGAUGGCCAGUACAAAGGUUCACACAUAAAAGCCUUCACUAAUUAACUAAUAAAGCCAUAUUUUGUUAUAUAAAUAUGAACAACAACAGCUCAUUUAUUGUGCUGCCAUUGCAUAGCUGGUACUGUUCUAGGUGCUUUCCAAAGUCAUUGGGUAUCUAUUAAGUGCCUUCUAGUGACUGAGAUAUUGGGGAUAUAACAGUGAACAAGAAGGCUUGGUUCCCAUCUAGGAAGUAGGUAUUAUUAGCAUUCUUUUGCAGGUGAGGAAAUUAAGUCUCUGUGUAUUUUUAAAACUUACUUAUUGCCACGCUGUUAGUAAGUGGCAGCUUCCCAAAGAGCUGUCUGACUCCAAAGCCUGUGUUCUACCCACUACAUUUUGCUUUCUCCCUUGGUAUAAAAUCUAGAGUCUUUGAGACUCAAUAAUGGAAGCCA